GGAGGAUAUAUACAGGGGGUACCGGUACAGAGUCAAUGUGGAGGAUAUAUACAGGGGGUACCGGUACAGAGUCAAUGUGGAGGCUAUAUACAGGGGGUACUGGUACAGAGUCAAUGUGGAGGCUAUAUACAGGGGGUACCGGUACAGAGUCAAUGUGGAGGCUAUAUACAGGGGGUACCGGCACAGAGUCAAUGUGGAGGCUAUAUACAGGGGGUACCAGUACAGAGUCAAUGUGGAGGCUAUAUACAGGGGGUACCGGUACAGAGUCAAUGUGGAGGCUAUAUACAGGGGGUACCGGUACAGAGUCAAUGUGGAGACUAUAUACAGGGGGGUACCGGUACAGAGUCAAUGUGGAGACUAUAUACAGGGGGUACUGGUACAGAGUCAAUGUGGAGACUAUAUACAGGGGGUACAGGUACAGAGUCAAUGUGGAGACUAUAUACAGGGGGUACUGGUACAGAGUCAAUGUGGAGACUAUAUACAGGGG
ensembl:lncRNA